rnacentral:tRNA from 1 species
CGGGAUAUAGCUCAGUUUGGCUAGAGUGCUUGUCUGGGGGACAAGAGGUCGCAGGUUCAAGUCCUGUUAUCCCGA